CACUUCUCCAGUUUGCUGACUCGUGGGACUUGGCAAGCCCAGGGAAUAGUGCUGAAGGGAAGAAAGCCCCUGGAGGGGCCUCCCGGGCGGCUGCAGGCAACCCUGCUCUUUUCAUUGGCCCCAUGUGACGCCCACAAGGGAGCAGGCCUCGAAGGCCUUGUAAAUGAGUGUUUGCAGGGCCCCUCCCUGACUACAGCCCAUAUGUCAGGACACACACCUCCGGACUGCUAAAUGGCUGAGAAAAGGACAACCGUUUUCCGUGUUGGUACGACAUGCAGCAUUGGCCAGUCAAGGAUUGAGAUCAGUCAGAGCCUCAUAAACAGAGAACUGGUUCCCGGAUAGCCAUGAUGGCAAAAGCAAGCCAGGCAGCUGGCUUUCCUGAGGAGGCACAUGGUGGCUCUGUCGGGGCCAUCAAAGUUGUCUCAGGGCUUCCGUCCACUGGAGACUGCUGCAAGCUGACAAUUUCAAAUCCAUUUGCAUCCACUUAGCUUUCCAGAGACCAAGGCAUUUUUCAGCUACAGCAAACAACACAUGAAUGUGAAGCUCGGAGCAGGCAGCACAGGGCAAAAAAGGAUUGGGAAGUCUCUGGGGCUGCUGCUAACUUGUCUUGAAAAAUCAAAAUGAACUUUUUUCUUCAAAGAUUCUGCUUCAAUUCAUCAUCAUUAUAAAAACACUCAAGUCCUUGAGGUCUGAGGCUGCAGUGAAUGCAUACAAAAUGGGUUUUCUGCAGGGGAAAAAACAUAUAAUAAUGUCCUAAAGCUCUUCUUUUGAGCUAUGGGCAGCAGGGAAGUCUGGUUUGAAAUCCAACCUUCACCUCCACUGAGCAAAUUUUGUUAAUUAGGAUGUGUUUGCCCUCCUUAAGGCACCUUCUUUCUCAGGAGAUUUGUAUCUGGGGAGGGCCUUUCCGAAAGGUAGAACAUCUUUAAUUAUUCAAACUGCUGGACCCUGGAGCAUGAUAUCCCCUUUGCCAGCUGUCAUUGGCACCCCAAAAGUAACACAGACUUCAUUAGUGUAUCAUGGAAACUCUAUUAUAGAUGGGGGCUGGGGGUUGUUAACCUGGUUUAUUAGUGUAACACUUCAGGUCCAUAUGGUAAAAGGGCUUCUGUGGGCUGGGCUGAGACUCACCAGGCAUGAUAGUGUUUCUUAGGAAAGUAAGUUCUGAUUUCCAAGUGGCUGCCUUUGAAUCUGGAAUGCAAGCCAUUUCUAAGAAGGAAAAUGCCCUGAAAUAUUAGAUGCAUGUUUUUUCCCAUUAUUUCAGAGGUGAGGAAUGCAGUUAUCUUGAACUUCCUUUAGAUAGAUGGUUUCCUUUUCUCCUUCUCCCCCUUCUUCCUCUUUCCCCACCUCCAUGCCAUUUUAUGAGCUGAUAAACCAUUAGUAGUUAACAUGGACUUCUCAGAAGGCAGUCAAGGAUAAACUUUGCCAGAAAGGGCUGAUUCAGGUGGGGUUACAUGACAGGCUCUGUAGUCCCGAGGGACACUUUUCCAGACUUGAGCAUAAUAUGAAUUCAGGGAGGCAAGAAAGAAGAGUCACAAGAUGAGCCCUCAGGACAUCCUUGCAUAAACCCCCAAAGUCAGGGGCUUAAGAAAGAGAUGUGAGGAAGAAGAUAAGAUCCAGAAGCAAAGAAAUUUGUUAGAGACAGACUGGCAAAGACAGAAGACCAUAGCAAGGACAAUUCUGAGUCCAGCAGUGGACCAGGUACAAUGACAGCCAGCUCUCCCUACCCAUGGGUUCCAUAUCAGUGGCUCCCACCAUCCAUGGACAGAGAAUACUCAGCAAAAAUAUUACAUCUCUACUGAAUGUGUACAGACUUCUAUUCUUUAUCAUUAUUUGCUAAAUAAUAUAAUAUAAAAACUCUCUACAUAGCACUUACAUUGUAUUAGGGUAGAAGUAAUCUAGAGAUAAUUUAAAGCAUACAAGAGAAUGUACAUAGACUAUAUGAAAAUACUAUUCCAUUUUAUAUUGGGACUUCAGCAUUUGCAGAUUUUGGUAUCUUCAGGGAUCGUAGAGCCUGUUCCCCAUAGAUACCAAGGGGUGACUAUACUUGAUGAGUUUUGGAUAGGCCCAAGUGAAAAGCAAACAUAGAUUAUGAACAACUCCUUUCACAGUGAAAAUCAAAAGGCUACUCUCCUUCCUCCAGAGGACAAUGAAUUCCCCCCCCUUAGAGCCAAGUGGUGCAAGCUUGGUAGCCCCUUCCUAGGUCUACUGGAGAGAAGGUAGCAGUCAGGCCAAGAUCCAGUAUGCCCUGGAACUCCCUGCUAGAGGUGCUCAUGACACCUUCCCUCCAUGAAAUGUGGUCAAUGUCAGAAUAGACAAGUAGGGAGAGAAACACCUCACUUCCAUCCUGGUAUGCAGAGGCCAUACUGAAAACCACUAGCAAUCUCAGCAACACAGCACUGGCCCAACCGAUGGAUAUGAUCACAGGCAUAGCCAGCCUCACACAAGGCCCACAGGCUAAAGACCACCUCUGCAUAGCUGUGUCAGUCAGUAAAGCAUCUUUCAAGAUUAAACAAGAAAAUACAUUAGUGAAGGAUGUAUGAUGCCUUCGUAUAAGACUUUACAUUCAAUCAUUAUUAUAAUCUUGUGUAGGACACACUUUCUAAGCAUGAGACCUGUGCAGUGAUAUGGGACACCACAAACCUAAAGGGACCCCACUUGUGGCUAAUGCUCUGCUAUCACUUUCCCGAUAUUCUUUAUUUCAGAACAAAGAGCCUGCAUUUUCUUUUCUUUUCUUUUUUGGGGCAGAGGGAGUACUGGAGAUCGAACUCAGGACCUUGCACUUGGGAGUCAGGUGCAGUGCCACUGAGCUAAAUCCCUAGCCCUGCAUUUUCAUUUUGUAUUGGAGUCUACAAAAUAUGUUGUUGGUCCUUGUCCAAUGGGGGAAAAAACACAGGUGUUACCAACUGCCCCAUUUACAGAUCCAGAAAAAGAGGAUUAAGCAGGUUAAACGGCUUCCCUAGGCUCACCUCACUAGUAAGCAGCUAACUCCAGCUCCAGACCUCACACUUCCUGUGUUAGAUAGCUUUGUGCCACUGGGACAAAAUGCCCGAACAAAAAACAACUUAACAGAGGAAAAAUCUAUGUUGACUCAUGGUUUCAGAGGUCUCAGUUCAUGGUCACUUGGCUGCCCCCAACAGGAGCUGUCCAAACUGGGCCAGACUGGACCAAGCUGGGCCAGUCAGAUUUUCUUUCCCGGGAAUCUGGAAUUGGCAUCCAGCCAACAAGGGGCAAAAGAAACAGCUGGAGCAGUUGUUGAAACAGAGGAAGGGUAGAUUCGGGCAUAGGACAGUCAUGUAAUAACAUUUGCAUCUCCUAUCCUUUCUCCCCACACUCCAAAUUUAUGACUCCCAGAAACAUAGCUAGAGGAAAAGGUCAGGGUCUACCAUAUUGCCAGGAGAUAAUAAUCCAGACAUUUUAGGGGAAACUUCCUUAUGUGAUCUCACUUGUGGCUGAAAACCUACCAGACCUGCUGGUCAUGGGAGUUACAUGAGGAUGGACAGCUGUGAUUGCUAACAUUUCUUAUUCAUGCUGCUACUAUUGUUUAAUCUGUAUAAAUAUAUGUAGCACUUCCUAUAUUCCAGAUACUAAUCUAAGUGCUUUACAUAUAUCAAUUCAUUUAAUUUUCCUAAAAGCCUAUAAAAUAGGUAUUACUAUCAUCAUUCCUGGUCUAUAAGUAAAGAAGCUAAGGCACAAAGAAGUUAUGUACCCCACCCAAAAUCACACAGCUCAUAUGUGGUAGAGCCAGGCUUUGAACUCAACAGCCUGACUGCAAGCAAAGUCUGAAUUCUUAACAUUCACCAACUACCUCUCGAAAUAUUAUCCUGGCUGGUCUGAAAUAAAUAACAUGCAAUUUCCACUUCUCAGUUUAAUUUUACCUAAUCACAAUGCAAUGUUUUAAAAAUGUUGCUUAUUUAGAAUCAAAAAAGCCUCUGAGCAGUCAAAAUAAAAUGACAAUGCAAAAGCAUGAGCACUCAGUCCCUAAGAUUUUCACUCAACCCUCAUUUACUCACAUUCUCUCUCCCUCUCCUCUUCUUCUUUUUACAUGUAAAAAAGAAUCUAGGGUAGAGUUUCACCUAGGAUGUGGACCAUUAUCUGUAUCCAAAUGAUCCAAAAUGUAUCACUUCCUCUCAGGUACAGCUUUCAAUCUGUCCACUUGGGGUUCUGCAUAUCCGCAAUUUUGAUCCCAAGGAAGGAUCACACUACAGGGUCUUACCCUUUCCUACCAGCUGGUGUGUGCUCAGAACAUGCACAACUGGAGCCAAUAUACACAGGACUGUAGAAAUGGGCCCAAAAAACCACCCCAUGGGACUCUCAAAGUCAAAUAUAGAAAGUCAUUGGGGUCCUCUCUUCAGUUUGCCUUCUGCUAAGGGAAAGGAGUCAAACGCAUUCGGAACUCUCCGUCCCUUGUCUUGUAACCAUCCUCUUUCUCACUGAGCCCCUUUAGACUUUAGAUUCUCUAUUGAAUGCUUCACUCUUUCUUAAUUUUUGCUUUUUAAUCUAGCUAACUCUGGUGUAAUAUCAUCUUUGUUUUUAAAUACCUUGUUCUUAAAAGGCCUACAAUACGGUAUGUAUACAUAUAAACUUCCCUUAGUGAAUGUAUCCAUUAUCUAUAGCAAACAUGUACUAAUAAAAUAGUAAAAUAAGUAUAUAAAUACUUCCUUCUUAGUAAAGUGUAAAUUCUACCAUAUGUAAUAUAGUUCAUUCAGUAAAUAUUUUGAUCUAUGUAUUCUGUAUUUUAUUAUUAUGUACAGUAAAUAUAUUUAAUAAAAUUCUUUAAUUCAUAAAAUAGAUUCCUUACCCAAACUGCUAAUAGAGUUGUGAUUUGGGUUCUCCAGAAAAUGGUCAUGGUGUUGGUUCUCCCCUGUCAGCAUCUCACUCUUAGCAGAUGCUUUAAAAUAUUCUUAUUUGAAUUGACUUGCUAGGCUAGGUAGCUUUCAAGAACUGGGUGUGUGUAGUUUCAGUCCAUCUGUCUACUCAGCAAGGUCUUGGCAGCACUAACUCUUCCUUUACACCUAACACAUAUUUAUUAUUCUUUACACUUCUUUCCUUAAAUUCUGAAAUCUUUUUUUUUUUUUUGGUACUGGGGAUUGAACCCGGGUCCUUGAGCUUGCUAGGCAGGUGGUGAAACCACUGAGCUAAAUCCCCAGCCCCUUCUGAAAUCUUAAUUACUGGCAAUACCACCCUGAAUGACUCCUGCCAUCAGCACUGGAACUGACCAUUCCUUCAACACUUACAGAGGAUUUUGCUGUGCACCAAGACUAGGAACUAAAGCAAUGACAGCUAUUUCGUUUGUCCCCAACAGCCAUGUGGUAAGUGUGACUCCAAGGUAAGUAGGACAAUUAUUCCUUUUUAACAGAUGAGGGACAGAGAGGUGAUGUGACUUUCUCAAAAACCCAGAUUUUAUAUUAAAAAAAAAAAAAAGAAGCACAGAUUCAAACUCAGAUCUGUCUAACAUCAAAAUCUAUUCUCUGGGGACUUGACCAGCCUUUCCCAGCUGAAAAGUUCCAGAUAAGUUCCAGACAGUCAUUGAUAAGACAAAUGCUUAUCACCCACCUUUGUAGAAAUGAAGACUCUCGUACAACUGGCUCUCCCAGAGCACUCACUUGAGUUUUCUUCUUUAAUGCAGUAGAGAGGUUUCUCAGGAAAGAGAUAUCAGAUGGAAAUUUGGGUCCAGGAAACUUUCCACAGAGUGCUAUGCGGGCUCAGACCUGGAAGUAGAGGAAAUAGGAUGAGGCAGGGAGAGGUUGGACCUCAGUGCAGUCAGAACCUUGACCUCAGCUCACUCAUGGUACCAAUUAAGUAUCCAAAAUUUAGUGAAAGAGAUUGAGCCUUUAUACCCCACAGUGAUGACCCCCUGGAUAUGCACUGCCCCAGGAAACAGACAUGACCUUGGCCCAGGAAAAUCCCAGAGAGGGACUCACCUGACUGCUGUCAUUGCCCUCACUUCUGGCUGCUGAGGGAACAACUGUUCCAUGGACAAAUGCACCUCAGAGAGGACCUCCAAAUAGUGCCACUAAAGAAGACAUUCUCCCUUCUUCCCCAAACAUGGAGUCCUGUCAGCUGGUCUUGUUGACCACCAUACAGAACAGCCUGUACCUCAUAAGAUGCCUGUCUCAGUGUGGGGCAGAGAUUUCUCGUUAAGGAUGUUCCAGCCGUGAACUCUACUGAAAGACAAGUGUCCCCUCACUCCCUGUGGGUUCUUUACUCUUUGAGCACAGCAAAGAAAAGAAUCCUGGUUGGGUAUGUUAGAUCAGGGUCCCCAGAGAAGGACCUCUUCUUGCUGGAAUUGUGCUUUUCCAUUAAUUAGAUUGUCAGAAAUCCAAGAAUCAUUUUUUUCUACUUUAUCUUCUUUUUUUUUUUUUUUUUUUGUACCGGGGAUCGAACUCCUGUCCUUGCGCUUGCGCAGUAGGCGGCGGAACCACUGAGCUAAAUCCCCGGCCCCUUUAUCUUCUUAAUAUAUUACUGUUUUUUAUUAUUAUUUGAAUUUUUGUUACAAUUUACUUGUUAAUAUCAGUAAUAUUUCUAUGGAUUUCUUAUGGAAAUUUGUGAAAAUUAACUUUGUUUUCUUUCUUUUCCUUUUUUUGUUAUUUGUGUUUGUUUGUUUGAUAUGGGGUCUUGCGAUGUUGCCCAGGCUGGUUUCAAGCUCCUGGAUGCAAAUGACCCUCCUGCUUCAGCCUUUCAAGUACUAUAAUUACACUCAACCAUCGUGCCCAGAGGUAGCAGAGGCUGCUGAUGGAACUGCCUGGAUGAUUCCCGAAAAAGCCUGGAAGACUUCAGACCAGUGGCCAAAUGCACAUGAGUUCCCUGUGGUCCUUCCUUCCUUGAUCUUCUACCACAACAACAAUGUGUUUCCAUUUAAACUGAUGUAGAUAUGCACUUGUAACAAUGGUGAAUGGUCUCAUUUCUGAAUAUUAGCCUAAAAUGCAGACGAGGAGUGCUCCCAUGUCCUUAGCAUUAGGUAGAUCUUUGGUCAAACUACAGCAUUCUCUUUUACUACUUUCUCCCUUGGGCUCAAGAUGUGUUGUCUGAAAAGUGAGAGAUAGCAGUACAGUAAUACCUCAGCUUAGGAAUGCUCCUGUUCAUGAACAAUUUGGUUUGCAAACAGAAGCAUUUGGAACAACUUUGCUUCCAUUAUCGAACUUUGUAUCAAGUGACAAACAUGAUCGCAGCCAUCUUCCCUAGAUGAACACAAAUGUGACCAUCUUGCCCAGAAUCAUGGAACCAAUUAAGUGCAUGAACCAAGGUACCACUGUACCUCCUUCCCAGAGCUACUUGAAGAUUGAGUAAUGUCAUUAACAAGCUCUUAAAGCAACCUGGCUUCCACCUCUUAUAACACUUUGUCUCAUAAUCAUUCCAUCAACUCAGUGCUUGUCUAGUGGCUGUCAUCCCAAUGGAUUGUAAACUUCAAGAAAGCUUUAUUCAUGGCUGUGUUCCCUGGGACACAGACUAUUAAUAGACAGACUAUUUUGUGCAAUGUGGUGCCUGUGGCACAUGUUAUAUACUCAAUAAAUGUUAGCUCUUACUAGUAAUACCCAGCUCAAACAAUAAAAACAAGCAGUGUAGUCAAGGAAAGACUACCUGGUGAAACCUUUGACCUCAGAACCCUAUUGAAAGAAUGUGAACUCCACCAAGAGGAGCGAGUAUUGUGUUUUCUGUUGCAAAGAAGGACUCAGAGACUCAAAGUCUAUCACACCUACAGACCACCAAGAAAUGAGCUUCUUCCCCCAGACUCUCCCAGCCUGAGCCACAUCACUGCUCUUGAAAUUCAGCCUGAUCUGUGAGUCUGAAUGAAUGUGAGCUGCGUGGGUGGCACACAGUAUGAGCUCCAGCGAGAGGCCCUAGUUCUUUCCCAAGAAGGUGUGACUUUUGAUUUCCUUCAAGUACGAUCAAGGUGGGUGAAGCAGUGGUGUUGGAAGGCUGGUGAGCUGUGGGCUGGCUGAGUCAGUGUUGGACAAGCUCCCCUCGGGAAUUUCCCACAGGGAGGGGAGCAGGUGGCAAUUGUCAGCUGGGAAAUUAACCAGGUGUGACUUUGAGAUCCAUAGGUAGAUUACAGUCUGCCCACAGAAAAGCCUGGGCCUAAUUAAUGAUAUUACUCUGAGUGGAAGUGAGGCCUUAUGCUUGGAAUGAAGUCCUUCACCUUGGCCUUUGUCUCCAAGUGAUAUCCUUUUCUACCUCUCUAGCUCAUGGAGUUGUUACUAGAAUAAAUCAAUGAAAUUAUGUAUAUAUGAAAAAAAUCCUUAGAGACUAAUAACGAAAUAUCAUCUGAAAAAAAUGGUUGGGUUUUCAGAUGGUUUUUGUUUUUGUUUAUUUGUUUUGAAGUGCUAGGGAUAAAACCCAAGAGUUCAUGCAUGCUACGCAAGUCCUCUACCACUGAAAUACAUCCCCAGCCAAUACUGUGUUACUUUUACGAACAAAAAAGUUUUAAUAAAAAUAUAUUGAGACUUAUACUCCCAUAGGAAGAGCCAUGGGAGACAUACAUGAUCAGGGAUCACUGGUCAGGCUGGAAGAGACCCCAGAUGGGUAUAAGCUAAAUGACCCAGGCCCCAAACCCACAGCUAGAAGCCAGGCUCAGCCUGAAUUGAGGUGGAUUUGAAAGUCCCAGAAUUGGCACACCCACCCUAAUCCUACUGACUGCUAGUGAUUGCAGCCUUCGUGGAUGUGGGCUCUGACUGCUUUCUUUAUCUACCAAUGAAAGCAGGGACAGAUAUUGAAUUGGACACCAUCCCAAAAUUGUAGACCCC
ensembl:lncRNA